AGUCUCAGAUUAGCCAUGCAUGUCUAAGUACAUACUUUUACAUAGUGAAACCGCGAAUGGCUCAUUAAAUCAGUUAUGGUUCCUUAGAUCGUACAAUCCUACUUGGAUAACUGUGGUAAUUCUAGAGCUAAUACAUGCAAAACAGCUCCGACCUCACGGAAAGAGCGCUUUUAUUAGAACAAAACCAAUCGGGUCGAAAGGCCCGUCCAACUGGUGAUUCUGGAUAACUUUGUGCUGAUCGCAUGGCCUCGAGCCGGCGACGUAUCUUUCAAAUGUCUGCCCUAUCAACUUUCGAUGGUACGUGAUAUGCCUACCAUGGUUGUAACGGGUAACGGGGAAUCAGGGUUCGAUUCCGGAGAGGGAGCAUGAGAAACGGCUACCACAUCCAAGGAAGGCAGCAGGCGCGCAAAUUACCCACUCCUGGAACGGGGAGGUAGUGACGAAAAAUAACAAUACGGGACUCUUUCGAGGCCCCGUAAUUGGAAUGAGUACACUUUAAACCCUUUAACGAGGAUCUAUUGGAGGGCAAGUCUGGUGCCAGCAGCCGCGGUAAUUCCAGCUCCAAUAGCGUAUAUUAAAGUUGUUGCAGUUAAAAAGCUCGUAGUUGGAUCUCGGGUCCAGGCUUGCGGUCCACUCUUUGGUGGUUACUGCUCGUCCUGACCUACCAUCCGGUUUGCCCUUGGUGCUCUUGACUGAGUGCUUCGGGUGGCCGGAACGUUUACUUUGAAAAAUUAGAGUGUUCAAAGCAGGCAAUUCGCCUGAAUAAUGGUGCAUGGAAUAAUGGAAUAGGACCUCGGGUCUAUUUUGUUGGUUUUCGGAACUUGAGGUAUGAUUAAGAGGACAGACGGGGGCUUCGUAUUACGGGUUAGAGGGAAAUCUUGGAUCCCGUAGACGACUACUGCGAAGCUUUGCCAAAAUGUUUCAUUAUCAGGACGAAGUCGAAGUUCGAGACAACAAAUACCGCGGAGUUUGACCUAAAAAUCCACUAUUGAUCCCCGGAUUGUUCAUAAUCAGCGGGGGUUCCGGAAAAAAAUAUUUGUUUCGGGGAGAAGGUUGCAACCAAAAUAAAGAAUGUUGGAGGGCCCCCCCCGGGGGGUGGGUUUUUUUUUUAUCCCGGAAA
rnacentral:rRNA from 1 species